GGAUUGUUUCGGUUUUUAUUUCCGAAGAUUCUUUCCGCCGUCCGUUCCCGUGGCGAAUCUGCGGCCGGCGGCCGUGCGGGAGGGGAGGCGGGGCCUCGCUCUGCGCAGGCGUAGCGGCGGCGCCGCCUCUCGCGGUGUCCGGGCCGCGCUCCGGCCCCGCUUCGCUUUCACCGGAACCCGAGGCCGCCGCCGCUCCCCUUUCCCGGCAAUUUUGGGGAUGCUGAGGCGCCGGGUGACGUUCGAGGAGCCCCCGGGGGAGGGGGAGGGGCCGGAGGAGCCGCCCCGGAAACGGCGGGUGAGGGGGAGGGGCGGGGGCGGGGCCUGGGAGGGGCGGGGUCAUUGAAAGGUCACUGUGGGGUCACGGGGGUGAAUUUUGGGGUGAGUUUGGGGAAUUUUGGGUCAGGCCGUGGCCAUGGAGGGCCUGGAACGUCUCACAGCCAUUUUGGGGUGAAUUUGGGCGAUUUUGGGUCCAGGCUGUGGCCGUGGGGGGUCCCGGGAGCCGCUUCCCGGCCCAGCCGUCCCUGGACAGCGACGAGGAGGAGGAGGAGGAGGAGGAAGAGCAGAGGGAGGAGGGGCCGCCCGUGGAGGGGCAGGAGCCGGGCCCCGCGCCGGGGGUGGGGGAGGGGCCGGUGCCCCUCACCCCCUUCAACCUGGAGGAGGAGUUGGGGGA
rnacentral:lncRNA from 1 species